CCCUUAGAUGUUCUGGGCCGCACGCGUGCUACACUGAGUGGAUCAGCGGGUCAGGUUGCGCGAAAGCGUUUCCUAAUCUUUAAAUCCGCUCGUGAUGGGGAUUGACGGUUGCAAUUUUCUGUCAUGAACGAGGAAUACCUUGUAAGCGCGGGUCAUCAUCCCGCGCUGAAUACGUCCCUGCCCUUUGUACACACUGCCCGUCGCUCCUACCGAUUGAGUGGUCCGGUGAGGCUUUGGGAUCUGAGCGGAAAGAGCGUUUCGCUGUUUCUGCUCGGAAAACUCAGUCGAACCUUAUCAUUUAGAGGAAGGAGAAGCCGUAACA
rnacentral:rRNA from 1 species